UACAGAGGUCUCAAGCGUUGUUCGGAUUCAUUGGGCGUAAAGGGUGCGUAGGUGGCGGGGUAAGUCAGGUGUGAAAUCUCGGGGCUCAACCCCGAAACUGCAUUUGAUACUGCCUUGCUCGAGUACUGGAGAGGAGAAUGGAAUUCCCGGUGUAGCGGUGAAAUGCGCAGAUAUCGGGAGGAACACCGGUGGCGAAGGCGGUUCUCUGGGACGGUACUGACGCUGAGACGCGAAAGCGUGGGGAGCGAACAGG
rnacentral:rRNA from 1 species